GGCUCUUUUCAGAAGGUCAAGCGGCUAAUCCUCGAAGUCAUCCGGCAUAGCCAGAGUCUGUUUUUUCCCCCCGUCCGAAAUGGCAAUUGUAACAGCCACAGGGCUCCCAGGAGACGUGGGUGCAAUAACGAGGUGACAUUUUCUCCAGGUUCUAAGGACAGCUCACCACGGCCCCUCUGCAAGAAUUCUUGGGGCGCCUGGGUGGCUCAGUCAGUUGAGCGUCCAACUUCCGACUUCUGCUCACGUCAUGAUCUCCCGGUUCAUGAGUUCGAGCCCCGCGUGGGGCUCUGGGCUGUCAGCGCAAAGCCUGCUUCGGAUCCUCUGUCUCCCUCUCUCUCUCUGCCUCUCGCCACUCGUGCUCUCUCUCUCUCUCAAAAGUAAAUAAACAUUAAAAAAGUUAAAGAAGUGAGGAUUUCUUUCCACCAUGUGAGGUUACAAGAAGUUGGUGGGAGCUACCAGUCUGCAGCCUGGAAAAGGGCUCUCACUAGACACAGGAUCCGUCUGUGGACCUGCCUGCCUUCAGAACUGUGAGAAAUCAAUGUCUGUUGUUGCCGUCACCCAGUCUACGGUAACCCGCUGCAGCAGCCUCACCUGUAGCCCCGUGUGCACAAUGAGGAAGUUAGUCGUUUUGCCCAGAACAGGGCAGGACUUCCAGCUCAAGGUCAGUGAUUUUUCCACUGUGUCACGGGAUGUACCACAAGGUGGUACUUGAUCAAACAGAAAAUACGUCCUUGGAACUGGCCUCCUGGUCUCAACCUAGAUUCGGGACUUCACUUCAUUGCAAGCACCAGCCCUUUUCCUCUGGAACAGAUUUACCGCUUCGAUAAUUUAGACCUGACUUUCAGGAAGAGGCCAAAUAGGUUUCCCCCCUGAUCUGUGGGGAGUGGCUACACAGGAGCCCAUCUGGAAAGCGUUCUGGGAUCAAUUAGCCAGGUCUGCCAAGGGCAAGGCAGGGGGAGAGUUAAUCCUGUAUGCUAAAUAUUUGCCCAAACUAGUAAAGAGGUGGGGUGGGUGACAAACUGUAAAGAUGAGCUUUGCAGAAAAGCUUGGGAGGGGAAGAGAUUCCAGAGAAGUCUGGUUUCUGUCUCCUGGCUGAGCAGUGUGGAGGAGUAUGGCUGCCGAUUGAGAAUAGUUAUGCCUA
rnacentral:lncRNA from 1 species